rnacentral:rRNA from 1 species
UACAGAGGGGGCAAGCGUUAUUCGGAAUUAUUGGGCGUAAAGGGCGCGUAGGCGGCUUGGCAAGUGGAAGGUGAAAUCCCUCGGCUCAACUGAGGAACUGCCUUCCAGACUGCUUUGCUUGAGUCCGGGAGAGGUGAGUGGAAUUCCCAGUGUAGCGGUGAAAUGCGUAGAUAUUGGGAGGAACACCAGUGGCGAAAGCGGCUCACUGGACCGGAACUGACGCUGAGGCGCGAAAGCGUGGGGAGCAAACGGG